UACGGAGGGUGCAAGCAUUGAUCGGAAUUACUGGGCGUAAAGGGCGCGUAGGCGGCUCGAAAAGUCAGAUGUGAAAUACCGGGGCUCAACUCCGGGGCUGCAUUUGAAACUGCCGAGCUAGAGGAUGGUUAGGGAAAACGGAAUUCCACGUGUAGCGGUGAAAUGCGUAGAUAUGUGGAAGAACACCAGUGGUGAAGACGGUUUUCUGGGCCAAACCUGACGCUGAGGCGCGAAAGCUAGGGGAGCAAACAGG
rnacentral:rRNA from 1 species